UUCAAAUGUUAUCCACAAAUAGCAUCAAGAUGAACACAUACUGCACAACAGUGACGAUUAAGUUAAAAAUCAUACAUAUAUACUCACAUAGGUUCACAAACACAACAAUAAGCAUAGUAUGACCAUCCAAAACACACAAGUGACAUAAGGACCACUAUUUGCUGGUCUGGAAGAGUUUACAGACAAGUUACAUCCAUGAGCACAAAGUUUCUAAUCCAAAAGACUUGAAGCACCAAAUGGUCCAAAACACACAUAAGAUUCAUGAUACAAUGGAAGUAGGCUGAUCCAAAAUACGACAAACAGCCAAAUGUUGCAUGACACUCCAAGUCCUCACAUCCAAGCGCUAGGUGGCUACGUACCUGAAAAUAUUCCAUACAAAUUUGUCAAGAAAGUGCAAUCAACCCAGAAGUCGUUCAAAACUCAUAUGAAGAUUGGCGGGCUAGAGAGGCACAUGCUAAGUCGUACUUGAUUGUUUAUGUGAAUACUCACAGAAACAGAAAGAUACAACUAGGAACUAGUCCCCGAUGGCAUUGAAUUAAUGUGCUGAUUGUUGUGUAUAUUAAUGUUUCGUUUGCAUGCUUAUUUCAUUGGAAGUUGCAGACUGGAAGUAAAUGAACUAUGAUAGUUUAAGAUAAAAAAAGUACACAUAUACAUGUACAUUAGCAAGACUGGUAACUUGCUUGUAAACUGAACCAAUGGAACUAAAGGAUUUGGUCCUGAACACAAGUAGCAUGCCAAGCCAUUGAGAAGUUAAUGAAUUCAUCCGGUGCACAUAUACACAAGUUUUAGCACAGACUAUUUACUUAAUAGCAGGACAUCAAAAAUCACUUAAAUGCAUCAAUGGAGAAACCUAGCAGACCAGAGGAUGGGAGAACACUGAAGCCAACUAAUAUGAGGCAAGCCAUGCCACUUACAUUCGACUGGAUUAGAAUCAGACCGAUGUUGUCCCAGUAAAUUAUGAGAACAUAAAUUAAAAUACAACUUUUGCAGUGUAGUUUCAGAAAUAAAACACAUAUACACAAGUUUGUCAAGUAUGUGUCGAAGUUCAAAAACAGUAAACUUCAUGUAUGCAGUAUGUUGUAGUACCUCUAUGCACUGGCGGAGGCUCAUGGAGGACAAACAGGGGUGUGACGCCACCUUCUCUGUCAUCCAUUUAUCAUGUCGUUCUGCGCCCCACUAAGCAUUGGCCGACGGCUUGCUGCUGCAUCUGCACGCCACGAAUGUUAAUGCCUGUCGUAUUGUGCACCACCGAUAAUCACCAGCGGCUUGUUGUUGCAUCUGCAUGCCAGCACUGCUACUGCCCUUCUCGUCAUCUCAUGUUCCUGCCAUAUUGUGCGCCACCGAUCAUCACCAGCGGCUUGCUGCUGCAUCUGCACGCCAGCACUGAUGCUGCCCUUCUCGUCAUCUAAUGCUCCUGCCGUAUUGUGCGCCACCGAUCAUCACCGGCGGCUUGCUGCUGCAUCUGCGUGCCAUGUAAAAAGAUGUGAUCCGUGUGAGCUUAAUUCAAAUGUUACGACUCGGUCAGCCAAGCUAUUAUUGUAUCAAUUAAAGAAACUUGAUUCAGAUUAGAAGUACCUAAGCCGCACCUUCCUUAAGCCGCACCUGUUUUCAAUUUAUCACACAUAUUUUUCUUUAAGUUUGAAUUUGGCGCCACUUGGUUGCUUGUCACGCUCCACCACUGCCGCUAUGACUGCUCCAGGGAAGUGAACAUAUUUUUGAAUUGGAUGUCAAACCAAGAAGACCAAGCAUAGAAUCUUGACUACAAACAAAGUAAGGCAAGAAAUGUCAGCACCUAAUGCUCCAGCCAAACUUGACUCACAAAUAAGUUCUAAUUUCAGAUAGACUAGAGAGCUAUGUGUGCGGUGUUUUCUUCGUCCACACCAUUUGGUUUACUCUAAUACUAGACCACGAAGGCACACGUUGUCGCACUCGUCCAUCUUGAUACAAGGUAUAAUAAAUAUUAGCAAAAGCUUGAGUGGACAAACAUUUUGCAAUUUGUAUUGUUCUAAUUACUGUACCCUCGUAUUGUUCGAAUUACUCGAAUUAUAGUGCAACAAUGUUGGUAGUUAAUUGGGCAAAAUAUUCACACUAUAGCUAGUCCGCGUUGGUCCAUGCACCCGGAAGGACAAAGAGCUUGGUGUUCAAGUUGUGGGAGUUGUGCAGAAUGUGGACUGAUUGCAGACACAUGUCAAGGUUGUUCUGUAGAUCCCACCCAUACUAUCAGAUCAGCUAAAACAAAGCCGCCCAAUUUCAGUCGAGGGAGUUAAAAGUAGGAACAUAAACCAUAGCAGUAGUAUAAGGGGCUCAUGGAGAGUAAGAAGAACCAGUGCCUAUUAAGUUCCAAGUGGACUCGCCGUGCAUUGACUGAAAAUAGCUCAUGUGCCAAGAUAGUAAGCUAAUACAUAUUUAUAUUGUUUGUGAUAAAUCGAACCUUCAUUUCUCGGGCCUAGUUUAAGAUAAUUCGAUGAUCUGAACGUAUUAGUAUUCCCACUAAAACAUCUCAUGAGAAAAAAAAGUGGAAAUCAGAAAGCACCAGCACUGCAAGAUGAUGGAUUAGUUGAACUCGUCAACAAAAAGGAAACUCCCGAGAAGCAUCAGGAUGGCAAAAUGAUGGGUCCAUCCAUUCCAUUUGCUGACUUACCACGGCAUAUCCUCAAAUGGCUUGGAUAAGAUCAGUGAGGGCCCACCGGUGCCAGCGGCAUGCCUCUAGGACAAGCUGAAAAUAAAACAACAAAACUUAUCAUCAUAUUAUUGUAUGCCAGUGAUGAAACUUGCAUGGAUCCACAUACUGAAUCUAAAGGUUUAUAACGUUAUGUUUUUGUUCUGCUAUUCAGAUUGGCCAAACACAUGGGAACGACCAUAGUUAAUUAUGUCAACACAUGGGAACGACCUGGUCAAGAGGGAAUUGUCAUUUUAGCAUGUGGAGAACGAUUAAUUAUGCCAACACGACCAUAGUUAAACACUUAACAACACUGGACAGCCUUUAGAACAAAAAAACUGGACAAGAAUGAUCUACACUUCAGUUAACAAAUGGUUUUGUUUCUUUGUUCCCAGUUCAAAUAAAAUUACCUACAAAUAUGUUGUUUGCCAGGAACAAGCAGCUCUAGAGUCCGAAAAUAAAAACUGAUCACAAUUUACACCGUCUUACUACAAAUAUCAUUCCUUAACUGAAGCAUAACAAACUAAUUCAAAGAGAGUUUUGAUCUAGAUUUUCACAGGGAAGUAAGAAACAUAGUUAACGAUAAAUAAUAAUCAUUUUCACAUAGAACUCAUAAACAUUUUCACAGAGAAAUAAAUGCAUUAAUAGUCUACAAUGAUAACAAUAGUACAGCAGCACUAGAGUCACACCAGAUCCAUAAUAGAGUACCUGAAAAUUUUCAGAUCCAUAGCAUUUUUAGAGAAAUAAAGCAUCACAUAACAGACUAGAGCUUGUCAGACCAAACUAAUAGAUACAACCAACUAGGUAGGCAUAUGAGAAUGGGAGAAGAUAAUUUUCCUGGGACGCAACAUAGCACAAAUUGAUGUUGGUGACAACAGACGAAGUUUGCAGAAACCUUUCAUGAGACAUCGCGCCAUUGGUGGCAGCAUCGCCGAGCUUGUUGGAGACGAGAUUUUUUCCUGAGAGGAGGAAGAGGAGGGCGCUGACUUGGUCCUUCGUGAGGGCUAGUGGUGGUUUGUGAAGCUCCCGGCGGACGGAGCUGUCCUUGGCCACGGCACUGGGGAAGGCAUGAGUGGAUGGGGUUAGGGGAUCUGGGAUAUGCUCACCGCCGUCGGUGGAAACUCGGGCCAGCGAAGAUGCCCAUGUUGUGGCAGCGAAGGGGCCGGGAAAGGCAGGCGAUGGAGGGGGACGGGAAAUCAAGGCUAUGGGCGCCGGUGGCGGCAGGGACGGGUCCGGAGUCUGGACGGAGACCCCGAGGACGGCGGCGGCAGCGGAAAUUGUGGGCAGGGGCGGGGGCGGGUAGGGUUCACGCGAGUGGAUGUGAGGCUACGGGAUU
rnacentral:lncRNA from 1 species